rnacentral:rRNA from 1 species
UACGAAGGGGGCUAGCGUUGUUCGGAAUUACUGGGCGUAAAGCGCGCGCAGGCGGUCCUUCAAGUCAGAGGGGAAAGCCCAGAGCUCAACUCUGGAACGGCCUUUGAAACUAGAGGACUUGGGUACGGGAGAGGUGAGUGGAAUUCCGAGUGUAGAGGUGAAAUUCGUAGAUAUUCGGAAGAACACCAGUGGCGAAGGCGGCUCUCUGGUACGUGACUGACGCUGAGACGCGAAAGCGUGGGGAGCGAACAGG